rnacentral:rRNA from 1 species
CAAGUUGAACGCAACAAAGACACCAGAAGCUUGCUCUACCGUCUUUGUUGAGUAGCGAACGGGUGAGUAACGCGUGGGUAACCUGCCUUAUAGCGGGGAUAACUAUUGGAAACGAUAGCUAAUACCGCAUAACAAUAGAGAUUGCAUAAUCUUAUUUGAAAGUGCCAACUGGUACACUAUGAGAUGGACCCGCGUUGUAUUAGCUAGUUGGUAGUGUAAUGGACUACCAAGGCGAUGAUACAUAGCCGACCUGAGAGGGUGAUCGGCCACAUUGGGACUGAGACACGGCCCAAACUCCUACGGGAGGCAGCAGUAGGGAAUCUUCGGCAAUGGACGAAAGUCUGACCGAGCAACGCCGCGUGAGUGAAGAAGGUUUUCGGAUCGUAAAACUCUGUUGUUAGAGAAGAAUGUUGAUUAGAGUGGAAAAUUAAUCAAGUGACGGUAUCUAACCAGAAAGGGACGGCUAACUACGUG